CACACAUUUCAGUAGCAUAUGAAGCGGUUUGGAAGCAUUGUGCAAGAGUUAAGUCCCUCACCCCAAAUGCAGUGACGCAGAGAGCUACAAGAUGAGGUGCAUCUUCAUCUUCCCCUUCUGGCACAACCUAAAGCCAAACUGGCAGAGAAGAAAACCACCAAAAAGUACAGCCAGCAUGUGGGUAGGGUUGGAUUCGCAGCCUCUGGCCUGUGACUUUGCGUGACUACUUUGCGCGACUACUUUGUGUGACUCCUCAAAGCACAGGCAGUUGAGAGUCUGAUGACACUCAAGGCCACGCGCUGUGAUGUCCAAAAUUAACUCAGCUGCUAACUGUGCUACUGCCUCCGCGGUUUGAUUGCACCCUGCCUUCCUUGAGAACGCCCCCAAGGGAUAAAGAGGAUGUUGCUCAUAUGUGCAUUUCUGAGUUUUUUUUUUUUUCUUAGUGGACAGAAAUUUUCCAUUGUGUGGGGAUUUUUUGGUCUCAUCUGAAAUCUGGUUUCCACGUAGCCUGGCGCUAUUAGUCCAGUCAUUUUACCUGACCUCUUUCUUUACUUUGGGCACAAGACAAGGCCGAGCUCAUUCUUUCGUGACAGCCACUCUGCCACCUAAGCAGAACUAACCGUCAAAAGAGCAGGCGAAUUGUAAUUCUUAAAAAAUCCAUAAGCCAGCAGUUCCUUUUAACCACAGUGACUUUCCCGGCUGGCUCGUUGUGCUGAGGCAGCGGCGCGGCUGCACAGCAGAGCGAGGCUUGGCCCCGCCUCCCUUGGCAGGAGGGCGCUGUGGCGCGUGCAAGCUCUGCUGUCCUGCCCUUCCUGUGGGACCCAGUAUGGCGUUCUAGUGAUUGUUAGCAUGCGGACUGAAUAAACGCUCGGCUUCACUGAUGUUCCCAGCCUUACAUUUGCUAAACUGUGUCAACCAGAUGGCAGCAAGGACAUCUGUGGCAGUACAGAAAUCAAGAGAUGAGAAAAGGAAAUAAAGGGACCUCCAUUCUGUUUUCCACCACAGGACUGCACUUAUAUAUGAUGUCUGAAAUAGUCAAACUCAUAGAAGCAGAGACAGAACGGCAGCUCCGGAGCUGAAUCAAAAUGCACGCAGCACAUGGAGACCCAGGAUGGCCCCAGCCAGCCCUGGCGAGUGGCAGACCAGUUCCCUCAGUGUCGUUGUCCUGUCUCCUCGGUUGUGGUGUCUUGAGAAGAAUCGUGGAGAGAACUGAUUUCAUGAACCAACGUGCCACUACCCAUAGAUGUGGAAGAGGUGUUGGAGCCCCAUCCAGAGGAGCUUUGUGAGAGCCGCCAGCACCCGACUGGGGAGGCCAGGAAGCCACGGCCGGCACUCAGAGCGAGGGAGCUCAGGCCCAGCUCAGCAAGGAGGCUCGACUAGAAGCCAGGCCCUUACCCAGGCCACUCCGUGGGACCCUCUGGAAGUGUUUCUCAUAACAAGAAGAGGCUCGCUGUGGAAGAAAUUGAGAGGCUCCCUGUACUAUUCCCAGUCAACCUGAGCCUCUUGUUUCCUGAGAAGACAAACACGACAUCCACCAUUAUCGCUGCUGGGCCAGAAGAAGGGAUUAAUGAACUCCAGUCCUCACAGAAGCCCCACGGAAAGAGGCCGUCACCCCCACUCUACCCUGGGGAACAGGGGUCACAAAACUGCUAAGGAGCCAGUCAGAGCUGGUAACGGGAUGGAGAGCCCAGGACUCAAACCAGUCACAGGUCCUGUGCUGUUCCUCGGUCAUCUUCCUGAUAGAAAAGAGGAAAGUGCCUCCGAAGAGCCACCGUGCAGAGUAUGAGGGAGUGGGAUAAGGAUUAAAAGAAGACAGCACCAUAGAGCAAGAUGAGAGAGGUUUCCAAAGGCUGCGUCUAGGACGAGCCAGGGGACCUUGAUAGCUGAGACGUUAACUCUGCAGAGAGGAGGAGAAGAUGAACCAGAGGACGCCUAGAACCGGUGAGCACCACGCAGGGUCCUUCAGAGACGGGCGGAGUCCGUGCUGAGAGCUCCCUCCAAGGCUGGGAUAGCUUGGGCACUUCUCUUUGCUCACGGAGAAAUCCCAAAGGCAUUUGGUUUUCUUUGAGGCCUCUACUCCCCAUUUCUUGGUGGCCAUUAUUAGUUCAAUCAAAAGGUGGCAGCCUUGAGGGGCGAAUGAGCCCCCUCUUCUGAGCCAGGAGCCCGCUUCCGAAGGUGUAGCAGGCUCCGGUUUCAAGUCCCUGAUCAGGGCCAGCUGUAGCCGACCCACCCCGUCGACUCGUUGGGGACCUAGACCUGCUACUUCCUUCUCCCUGACCUGGGGGUGAAUGAGGAGGAUGAAUGGCAAACAGACACAGAGUCAGUUUAAUUUUCAGGCAGCCAGAGGAGGCCCUAGUGUCUGACUCAUCUUGCCUCUAUUUACCCGAAUGGGUGCAAGCAAUCAGAGAAACACAGGAUCCACCUGCUUUCCGGGAUUCAUUACUACAAACUCUGGUAAACAACUUAACCUCCGGCGUCCUAACUUUUCCCUGGAUCCCGCACUAUGCGGUCACCCCUGAGAGCAGCCUUCCUCCUUUGUGCUCACAGAGGGGCCAGCUAGGCCUCAGUUCUCCUCUGCUCUCUGGCACUCAGGUGCAAGAGGGUAACCUUGCUUCUAUCCCAAAGCCAAGCCUGAGCCACCAUGGGUGGAGGCAGGAGACAUCCAAGGUCACAUAGAUGUAAAGCUUGACUUGGGGCCCAGCUGCUGUGGCCAGAGGCUGUCCUUCCACCAAUGAUGUCGCUAACCUGAGGAGCUGGAGCCAGCAGCGCUUGAUGCCCUGCCAUCCCGCUACUGCCAGCAACAGGACUCUGCUCCUCUGACCUUUGGCCCAGGCGCCUCCCGUUGCAUCUCCUCCCAACACUUCCCAUGGUGCCCGCUGGAGUCCCCUGUCCACUGUCGAAUCCCCAACCUGUUCUUUGACUUUUGACAUUAAAACAAAAGAAAGAGAUGGAAAGAAAUGUCAGCAAUUUUCUGUUUCCCCUGUUGUUUUAGGCUGA
rnacentral:lncRNA from 1 species